GCCGGGUGUGGUGGCACACACCUGUAAUCCCAGCAGCUCGGGAGGCCGAGGCAGGAGGAUCUUGAGUUCAAAGCUGGCCUCAGCAAAAGCAAGGCACUAAGCAACUCAGUGAGACCCUGUCUCUA
rnacentral:sRNA from 1 species